rnacentral:rRNA from 1 species
UUAAGCGACUAAGCGUACACGGUGGAUGCCCUGGCAGUCAGAGGCGAUGAAGGACGUGCUAAUCUGCGAUAAGCGUCGGUAAGGUGAUAUGAACCGUUAUAACCGGCGAUUUCCGAAUGGGGAAACCCAGUGUGAUCCGUCACACUAUCAUUAACUGAAUCCAUAGGUUAAUGAGGCGAACCGGGGGAACUGAAACAUCUAAGUACCCCGAGGAAAAGAAAUCAACCGAGAUUCCCCCAGUAGCGGCGAGCGAACGGGGAGGAGCCCAGAGCCUGAAUCAGUAUGUGUGUUAGUGGAAGCGUCUGGAAAGGCGUGCGAUACAGGGUGACAGCCCCGUACACAAAAAUGCACAUGCUGUGAGCUCGAUGAGUAGGGCGGGACACGUGGUAUCCUGUCUGAAUAUGGGGGGACCAUCCUCCAAGGCUAAAUACUCCUGACUGACCGAUAGUGAACCAGUACCGUGAGGGAAAGGCGAAAAGAACCCCGGCGAGGGGAGUGAAAAAGAACCUGAAACCGUGUACGUACAAGCAGUGGGAGCCUCUUUAAUGGGGUGACUGCGUACCUUUUGUAUAAUGGGUCAGCGACUUAUAUUCUGUAGCAAGGUUAACCGAAUAGGGGAGCCGAAGGGAAACCGAGUCUUAACUGGGCGUUAAGUUGCAGGGUAUAGACCCGAAACCCGGUGAUCUAGCCAUGGGCAGGUUGAAGGUUGGGUAACACUAACUGGAGGACCGAACCGACUAAUGUUGAAAAAUUAGCGGAUGACUUGUGGCUGGGGGGGAAAGGCCAAUCAAACCGGGAGAUAGCUGGUUCUCCCCGAAAGCUAUUUAGGUAGCGCCUCGUGAAUUCAUCUCCGGGGGUAGAGCACUGUUUCGGCAAGGGGGUCAUCCCGACUUACCAACCCGAUGCAAACUGCGAAUACCGGAGAAUGUUAUCACGGGAGACACACGGCGGGUGCUAACGUCCGUCGUGAAGAGGGAAACAACCCAGACCGCCAGCUAAGGUCCCAAAGUCAUGGUUAAGUGGGAAACGAUGUGGGAAGGCCCAGACAGCCAGGAUGUUGGCUUAGAAGCAGCCAUCAUUUAAAGAAAGCGUAAUAGCUCACUGGUCGAGUCGGCCUGCGCGGAAGAUGUAACGGGGCUAAACCAUGCACCGAAGCUGCGGCAGCGACACUAUGUGUUGUUGGGUAGGGGAGCGUUCUGUAAGCCGUUGAAGGUGUGCUGUGAGGCAUGCUGGAGGUAUCAGAAGUGCGAAUGCUGACAUAAGUAACGAUAAAGCGGGUGAAAAGCCCGCUCGCCGGAAGACCAAGGGUUCCUGUCCAACGUUAAUCGGGGCAGGGUGAGUCGACCCCUAAGGCGAGGCCGAAAGGCGUAGUCGAUGGGAAACAGGUUAAUAUUCCUGUACUUGGUGUUACUGCGAAGGGGGGACGGAGAAGGCUAUGUUGGCCGGGCGACGGUUGUCCCGGUUUAAGCGUGUAGGCUGAUUUUCCAGGCAAAUCCGGAGAAUCAAGGCUGAGGCGUGAUGACGAGGCACUACGGUGCUGAAGCAACAAAUGCCCUGCUUCCAGGAAAAGCCUCUAAGCAUCAGGUAACAUCAAAUCGUACCCCAAACCGACACAGGUGGUCAGGUAGAGAAUACCAAGGCGCUUGAGAGAACUCGGGUGAAGGAACUAGGCAAAAUGGUGCCGUAACUUCGGGAGAAGGCACGCUGAUAUGUAGGUGAAGCGACUUGCUCGUGGAGCUGAAAUCAGUCGAAGAUACCAGCUGGCUGCAACUGUUUAUUAAAAACACAGCACUGUGCAAACACGAAAGUGGACGUAUACGGUGUGACGCCUGCCCGGUGCCGGAAGGUUAAUUGAUGGGGUCAGCCGCAAGGCGAAGCUCUUGAUCGAAGCCCCGGUAAACGGCGGCCGUAACUAUAACGGUCCUAAGGUAGCGAAAUUCCUUGUCGGGUAAGUUCCGACCUGCACGAAUGGCGUAAUGAUGGCCAGGCUGUCUCCACCCGAGACUCAGUGAAAUUGAACUCGCUGUGAAGAUGCAGUGUACCCGCGGCAAGACGGAAAGACCCCGUGAACCUUUACUAUAGCUUGACACUGAACAUUGAGCCUUGAUGUGUAGGAUAGGUGGGAGGCUUUGAAGUGUGGACGCCAGUCUGCAUGGAGCCGACCUUGAAAUACCACCCUUUAAUGUUUGAUGUUCUAACGUGGACCCGUGAUCCGGGUUGAGGACAGUGUCUGGUGGGUAGUUUGACUGGGGCGGUCUCCUCCUAAAGAGUAACGGAGGAGCACGAAGGUUGGCUAAUCCUGGUCGGACAUCAGGAGGUUAGUGCAAUGGCAUAAGCCAGCUUGACUGCGAGCGUGACGGCGCGAGCAGGUGCGAAAGCAGGUCAUAGUGAUCCGGUGGUUCUGAAUGGAAGGGCCAUCGCUCAACGGAUAAAAGGUACUCCGGGGAUAACAGGCUGAUACCGCCCAAGAGUUCAUAUCGACGGCGGUGUUUGGCACCUC